UACUACACUUGAUCUUAGCCA
rnacentral:snRNA from 1 species